rnacentral:rRNA from 2 species
ACAACUUUCAACAACGGAUCUCUUGGCUCUCGCAUCGAUGAAGAACACAGCGAAAUGUGAUAAGUAAUGUGAAUUGCAGAAUCCAGUGAACCAUCGAAUCUUUGAACGCAUCUUGCGCUCCUUGGCAUUCCGAGGAGCAUGCCUGUUUGAGUGUCAUUAA